rnacentral:rRNA from 1 species
GAUGAACGCUGGCGGCGUGCCUAAUACAUGCAAGUAGAACGCUGAAGGAAGGAGCUUGCUCUUUCCGGAUGAGUUGCGAACGGGUGAGUAACGCGUAGGUAACCUGCCUGGUAGCGGGGGAUAACUAUUGGAAACGAUAGCUAAUACCGCAUAACAGUAGAUGUUGCAUGAUAUCUACUUAAAAGGUGCAAUUGCACCACUACCAGAUGGACCUGCGUUGUAUUAGCUAGUUGGUGAGGUAACGGCUCACCAAGGCGACGAUACAUAGCCGACCUGAGAGGGUGAUCGGCCACACUGGGACUGAGACACGGCCCAGACUCCUACGGGAGGCAGCAGUAGGGAAUCUUCGGCAAUGGACGGAAGUCUGACCGAGCAACGCCGCGGGAGUGAAGAAGGUUCUCGGAUCGUAAAGCUCCGUUGUAAGAGAAGAACGAGUGUGAGAGUGGAAAGUUCACACUGUGACGGUAUCUUACCAGAAAGGGACGGCUAACUACGUG